AACGAACGCUGGCGGCAUGCCUAACACAUGCAAGUCGAACGAGACCUUCGGGUCUAGUGGCGCACGGGUGCGUAACGCGUGGGAACCUGCCCUUAGGUUCGGAAUAACUCCCCGAAAGGGGUGCUAAUACCGGAUAAUGUCUUCGGACCAAAGAUUUAUCGCCGUUGGAUGGGCCCGCGUUUGUUUAGCUAGUUGGUAGGGUAAAAGCCUACCAAGGCGACGAUCCAUAGCUGGUCUGAGAGGAUGAUCAGCAACACUGGGACUGAGACACGGCCCAGACUCCUGCGGGAGGCAGCAGUGGGGAAUAUUGGACAAUGGGCGAAAGCCUGAUCCAGCAAUGCCGCGUGAGUGAUGAAGGCCUUAGGGUUGUAAAGCUCUUUUACACGGGAUGAUAAUGACAGUACCGGGAGAAUAAGCUCCGGCUAACUCCGU
rnacentral:rRNA from 1 species